UCAAAACUAAGUAUAAUAAUUAUAAACUCGUAAUCUAAAUUAAACACAUACAUAAUAGAAAUUUUCUUUCAUUACGAAAAGAAAGUUUCAUAUCAUUGUGUAAUUUGAAAUUCGAGCAAGAAAUAUAAGUAUGUAUGUAUGUAUGUUUAAUGUGAUAUAAUACUAUAUGUAUGUAUGUCAUAUUAAAUUUUUAGUGGCAGUAAGUAUACAAGUUUUUGCUAGUAGAGUUGCAAGCUCUUUAUUCUGUAGAAAGCUCAAUAUUGCAAUUUAUUUAUAUAUUUGAGGAAAUUGUACUAAGCCCAUUGUUUUUCUUUAUUGUUUUUACGAUGUCAAAUUCAUGGAUUUAAUACGAGGAUUCGAACUGGAUCCGAGCUAGGUGGAUCCUUUACCAUACAACAAACUGGAUCCGAGUUAGGUGGAUCCUUUCAACACAUGAACGAUCUAGUCCCGAGCAGGGUGAAUCCUCUCAAUAUAUAGGUGAAUAGGAUCCGAGUUAGAUAGAUCCUUUCAACAAAAUGAAACGAUCUUUUGCAACAAAAAGGCAAACAGGAUCUGAGCUAGGUAGAUCCUUUCAACAUAUAAUGAAAUUUGAUCCGAGCGAGGUGGAUUCAUGCGACAAAAAGUCGAACUGGAUCCAAACUAGGUGGAUCCUUUCAACACAAUGAAACUGGAUCCUUGCAACAAAAAAGCAAACAGGAUCCGAAUUAGGUGGAUCCUUUCAACACAAUGAAAAUGAAUACUUACAACAAAAAGGCAAAAAGGAUCCGAGCUAGGUGGAUCCUUUCAACACAUAAUGAAAGUGGAUCCUUUCAACACAUAAUGAAAGUGGAUCCUUACAACAAAAAGACAAGCAGGAUCCGAGCUAGGUGGAUCCUUUCAACACAUAAAAGGUUCUGGAUCCGAGCUAGGUGGAUCCUUUCAACUCAUAAAAGGUUUAUGCAACAAAAAAGGCGAAAUGGAUCCGAGCUAGGUGGAUCAUUUCAACAUAUGAACGAUCUGGAUCCGAGCUAGGUGGAUCCUUUCAACAUAUGAACGACCUGAAUCCGAAUUAGAUAGAACCAAUUGCCACAAUGCAUCUCAUAUGGGCAAUCAUUUAUGGAUCAGAGAAUAAAGUGAAAAUGAAUUUUUUCCCUAUUUCAUAAUUUGGAAGUUAAUUAAAUUGUAAAAUUGCAAGAAUAUACGGAGAAGGAUGCAACUGGGAAAGAGGUGGUUACAUCGAUUUUGAUAAAUUUGUUUUCAUUACGACACAUAAAUGCUUUUAAAACAAUAAAGGACAAUUUCAAGUUUCGAUCAAUGGUUAAUGUAAGGCAGAAAUCAAGAAAAAGAUCAAAAAUUUAAAAGAUUAAGAAUUGAAGAUCAAAAAAUCAAAAAUUUAAUCAAGAAUUGCGGCCGUUAUUCAGUUGAUUUGGUACUAAUAUAGUUUUCCUUAACAGUUUGGUCGCAAUUCGCAAAAAUAGUUCGUAAAAUUUGAAAUUGUGUACGUAAAAGCAAAAUCCUUUUCAAUAAUAUCACAUGGCCUGGAGUGAUGAAACUUAACAGAAU